ACUACGCAGCGUGCGGCGCUCACUGCGACAGUCGGCUUCGUUGGUCCGGCACCUCGCGUGGUCGGGCUGUGAACACUGAUUGUGAAUUUGCACCAUUUCGCACACUGGGUACUGGUUCAGACCCAGUCUAGACCCGUCGGCCGCGAUUGACUCGGUGAAGGGUGUGCCGUCGUCUUCUUCUCCGUAUUCUUCGACAACCCAACUCGGUGACCGGCUCGCCUGCAAUUGUGCCGUUGAAACGAUAUGUUGAUGAUCAUUUUUUCCUUUCGUUAAUGAUAAAGUGAACCGUUCAUGCGUCGCGACGCGAUUACUUUCAGUCGCUAUUUAUUGUCAGAUAGGGAUGCUUGUUGACCUUGGUAGUUUGAACGUCUGGUUCUUUUACUUUGUUCAAUUUCAUCGUUUCUGUACGGAUGUAAGGUGUGCGUAUAAUAGUGUUGAAUUAUUCAAGUCGCUGUACGGAAUAUCAAGAUCGGCACGUCAAUGACACAUGAUAUUCACGUGUACCACACGUAGGAGUCAUGCUCCUGCGGGAUCAGUGUGUGGCAAGAAGCUGUUCGACUGAAGAGUUUUCGCAUCAGUUCUUCGGCUAGACGUAGCCGGACUUAACGUCGCGUUGUUAGAACGCUGAACGUUUAACAACAAGAGUUUUCCUCGCCGUUGGGAGCGUUAUUCGCAAAUUUUUCCGUGACCCGAGUCAGGCCAACGGUCAACGGUCAAGGAAAAAGAUUAUCGCCAUGGUGAAUUCAAUAACGCGACUGGCUGCAGCUGUAUUGUCUAUCGCUGCAUUUCUAGUCUCUGAAGCAGUAUCGUUUCAGAUGCACUGGAAGAAAACUGCACCGACUUCCAGGGUGGCACAGUUAGACAUGGCCUCCUCUACGUACCAGGUCCUGCGGUAUGCAGCUUGUGCGUUUGCUACCAUUCCGAGCCGAUGUGGUGCAA
rnacentral:lncRNA from 1 species